GCCUGGGUGGCUCAGUCAGUUGGGCGUCUGACUUCAGCUCAGGUCAUGAUUUCAUGGUUCAUGGGUUCAAACCCCACGUCGGGCU
rnacentral:tRNA from 1 species